CCUACGGGGGGCAGCAGUAGGGAAUAUUGCUCAAUGGGGGAAACCCUGAAGCAGCAACGCCGCGUGGAGGAUGAAGGUUUUCGGAUUGUAAACUCCUUUUGUUAGAGAAGAUAAUGACGGUAUCUAACGAAUAAGCACCGGCUAACUCCGUGCCAGCAGCCGCGGUAAUACGGAGGGUGCAAGCGUUACUCGGAAUCACUGGGCGUAAAGAGCGCGUAGGCGGGAUAGCAAGUCAGAUGUGAAAUCCUAGGGCUUAACCAUAGAACUGCGUUUGAAACUGUUAUACUAGAGUAUGGGAGAGGUAGGUGGAAUGCUUGGUGUAGGGGUGAAAUCCGUAGAGAUCAAGAGGAAUACCGAUGGCGAAGGCGACCUGCUAGAACAAAACUGACGCUGAUGCGCGAAAGCGUGGGGAGCAAACAGGAUUAGAUACCCGGGUAGUC
rnacentral:rRNA from 1 species